UGGGGAAUAUUGGACAAUGGGCGAAAGCCUGAUCCAGCCAUGCCGCGUGUGUGAAGAAGGCCUUAUGGUUGUAAAGCACUUUAAGCGAGGAGGAGGGUACUGGUAUUAAUACUACCAGGUACUGGACGUUACUCGCAGAAUAAGCACCGGCUAACUCUGUGCCAGCAGCCGCGGUAAUACAGAGGGUGCGAGCGUUAAUCGGAUUUACUGGGCGUAAAGCGUGCGUAGGCGGCUAAUUGAGUCGGAUGUGAAAUCCCCGAGCUUAACUUGGGAAUUGCAUUCGAUACUGGUUAGCUAGAGUGUGGGAGAGGAUGGUAGAAUUCCAGGUGUAGCGGUGAAAUGCGUAGAGAUCUGGAGGAAUACCGAUGGCGAAGGCAGCCAUAUGGCCUAACACUGACGCUGAGGUACGAAAGCAUGGGGAGCAAACAGG
rnacentral:rRNA from 1 species